rnacentral:precursor_RNA from 10 species
GCUACCUCCAGAUUUGGACCUGAAUAUCUCCAGCAGAUCUCCAUUGUCUACCUGCUAUUUGAAAAGUAGACAAUGGAGAUCUACCGGAGAUCUCCAUACUGCAAAUGAGCAAAUUAGG